AGCCUCAGGAAGCCAUGCCCAGCUCCAACACAAGCCAGGAGAGGAGCGAGGACAUCACAGCUGACCAAAGUACACCCGUGGAGGCAUCACAGGAGACACCUGCAUCCUCCUCCAGCCCAGAGACAUACACCUUGAUGCCAGCAAGAAGAGGGUGAGGCCAUAUCCUGAAUCCAACUCCAUUUCCAGCUCCAGCCCACAGAGGAAUGAGGAUGAUGAGGGCAAUGAUGAGAUUGCAACCUCCACCAGCCCAGGGACACACGCCUUGGAAUACACAAGAAAGGGAGUUAAAAAGCCAACUGCAACCCUGGUCUAUGUGUGUUUGUCUGCUUGUUCUAGUGUUUGCUGUGUCAGUGUGUACAGUGAAGGUCACAGCUGAAGAACAUCAACUAGGCAUCCCUGUCCUUGCAAGUUAAAAAAGUCUCUGUCUCUGAUUGCUGGCAGCAAGUCAUAAGUCAGCAAAGCCACAGUCAAAAAGGAAACAGGACAAUUCCUUUCAGCUAACUUGCAGAACUAAGAAUCUCCAAACCAACUGCUCAACUGCUG